rnacentral:lncRNA from 1 species
CAGGGCUCUGUAACCCAUCCUUUGCUGACUCUCCUUGUCUUUUUUAGUAACCUUGGGAGGGUUCAGCCUUAUCCUAGAGCAGAACAGGGCAGGACGUGGCCUCUUCCAGGAGCUGUCCAGGCGGAGGCAGUUCCUGCGGGAGCAUGCGGCCCCCUUCUCCGCCUUCCUCACAGACAGCUUCGGCCGGCAGCACAGCUACCUGCGGAUCUCCCUCACAGAGAAGUGCAACCUCAGAUGUGAGUCACCUUCCUGGGCCCUCUCUGGGCUGGUGUCCAUCUGCUGAAGCAGCCCUUGAAAUUUCC